AUAAGAUCAUUAUUUAUAGUUGGUAAUCACAGACUGGCACUAAAGUGACAGUGUGGAUAUGUAACAGAUGAGUAACUUAAGCUCUAUCUAAGCACUGGUGGGGUGGGGAUACCAUGAUGCACUCUUGUAGUAUGGGGUAAUGAGGCUAUUAUCAGAGUCUGAGCUGUUCAAACAAAUGGUUUCAGUGAAAGUUAAGUCCACCACACCUGUUACUAGGCCUCCUCCUUUCUGAGAACUUGGUAUUAAGUGCCUUUAUUACAUUAACAAGGGACGACAGGAAAGCAUGGGCCUCUUCCAAGAAUAAGGUAUUUGGACACUUAUAAUCAAAAUCAAAAUUUUUAUCUCUGUGUUUUUAGUGUGCAGACUGCUGCUGGUCUAACAAGAAUGUGCCAUCCAAAAUCACUUCUAGUGGCCAUUAUAAGAAACUAAUAUUCUAUAUUCUGUUUUAUAAUCUCAAAAAUAUAAACUACAAAAGGGAUUCUAUCAAUACAUUUCUGAGUGAAACUACGUGGAAAACGUUGGGAAAACAGAUAAAUAGGAAAAGCCAUGUUUACUGUUGCUACAGUAGCAGAUUACCAACACACUGUAAUGAUACCCUAAUCUUAAACCACAUGGGAGGUCAUUAUAACAAACUUUUCAUGCCAGUGGGUGGGUGGGUUCCUCCUGUGGGGCAUGCUGCCAGUAGUGGUGCAGCAGAAAUGUGGAGACUGGCAGUUUGAUAACAGCCAGGGCUUUAUGGCUUGGGUUAGCAAAAUGCAAAGCAGAGCUGAUUGAUAUAUAAAUAUAUAUAUAAACUGAUUAGUCUCUCAAAAAGAGCAAACUUAAUAACUUGGAUAAGUGGUAAAGCCCCAGUUCGGACUGUGAUUAACAGUGGGUUGAUUUUAGCUAUGAUUUAUUACAGUCUGCAUGAACAUUCCUAUAUUGAUAAAGAUAAUGACAGGUAGGUUUUAGCUUGCAUUCUUAAUUUGCAAAUUGCACUGACUGCUGUUUAUACUGAUGUGCUUCGCUAACACUGUUUAUGGACACUGCAAUGCAUUUGUUUUGGGAGUGAUGACGGGAAAGAGUGACUGUGCAGCAGCAAGUCCAUGCCAAUCUAUCAGCAGCAGUGCGAGUGGGCGUGCCCUUUCAUAUUUCAGAAGCCUGCGAACUUUCUGGAUCUUUCUUCCCACUUUAUGCAACUUUAACGCAUAUUAGAAACUUCAUCCCGACAGUUUUGGAAACAUCAGUACCUGCUCACCAUCACUCAAUGUCAAGAAUGUCAAGAAGGGAAGAAUUUUCCCCCGAAGUACAAUGUGUAUAUUUGUUACACGACAAGACCAUCCUGCAGCCCAAGCUUAUUUCAAAAAGGGCAUCUUUGCUGACCUCGCACCAACAUUCUGGAAUGAUUUCCCAGGUGACCUCAGAAAUGCAUCAACCUUGGCUGUCUUUUUUUUUCUCCAAGCUUUUGGAAGCAUUUGUUUUAGGAGUCUAGACUGUGGUUGUGGUAUUUCAUGUAAAUAGUGUGCGUGUGCAUAGCAAGAAUUUUUAGAAACUAUUUUAUUUUAAUUAUUAAAGUCCAGCUGCCACAUAGUUUAGUUUCAAUACCCAUAAGUGACAGGUGCCCUUUAAAAUGUUGUCCUUAAUUAUUUUUUUGUCAUCUUAAACAUUUCCAGAGAACCAUUCUUCUUGUUUUAGUUUAGUUUUAGUUAACUAUAAUAACUUUGGUCUCAGUGCUGGAGGCUUUAUAUGAACAGGAGGAGUGCACAGCUUAUCAGAGGGCCUCAUUGUCUCCAGGGUCCUGGGCAUGUGUCCACUUUGCCCACAUAACAACACAGUGUCCUGUAUCUAGUUUAUAUAAGCCAGUUACAUAAGCCAAAAAUAUGUGGCUCUGUAA